rnacentral:rRNA from 1 species
AUACGUAGGGUGCAAGCGUUAAUCGGAAUUACUGGGCGUAAAGCGUGCGCAGGCGGUUCGGGAAGAAGGAUGUGAAAUCCCAGGGCUCAACCUUGGAACUGCAUUCUUAACUACCGAACUAGAGUAUGUCAGAGGGGGGUAGAAUUCCGCGUGUAGCAGUGAAAUGCGUAGAUAUGCGGAGGAAUACCGAUGGCGAAGGCAGCCCCCUGGGAUAAUACUGACGCUCAUGCACGAAAGCGUGGGUAGCAAACAGGAUUAGAUACCCUGGUAGUCCACGCCCUAAACGAUGUCAACUAGCUGUUGGGCCCUUCGGGGCUUAGUAGCGUAGCUAACGCGUGAAGUUGACCGCCUGGGGAGUACGGUCGCAAGAUUAAAACUCAAAUGAAUUGGCGGGG